rnacentral:rRNA from 1 species
ACCUGGUUGAUCCUGCCAGUAGUCAUAUGCUUGUCUCAAAGAUUAAGCCAUGCAUGUCUAAGUAUAAGUUUUUUACUGCGAAACUGUGAAUGGCUCAUUAUAACAGUUAUUAUUUCCUAGCCGGUCAGUUAUUCCUUGGAUACCCAUGGUAAUUCUAGAGCUAAUACAUGCUUACAGACCCAACUUCACGGAAGGGUUGCGCUUAUUAGAUACGAACCAACCCCGCAAGGGAUUCAGUUGAUUCAUAGUAUUCUGGCGAAUCGACUUUCAGUCGAUGAGGCUAUCAAGUUUCUGACCUAUCAGCUUCCGACGGUAGGGUAUUGGCCUACCGUGGCUUUGACGGGUAACGGAGAAUUAGGGUUCGAUUCCGGAGAGGGAGCCUGAGAAACGGCUACCACAUCUAAGGAAGGCAGCAGGCGCGUAAAUUACCCAAUCCUGACACAGGGAGGUAGUGACAAGAAAUAUCAAUAUAAGACUUUUGUGUCUUGUAAUUGGGAUGAGCGGAACUUAAAUCGCUUCUCGAGUAUCAAUUGGAGGGCAAGUCUGGUGCCAGCAGCCGCGGUAAUUCCAGCUCCAAUAGCGUAUAUUAAAAUUGUUGCGGUUAAAACGCUCGUAGUUGGAUAUCUGUGAGCGGGUUCCGGUCCUUCCCAGUGAAGAUUACACGGAACUCUGCUCGCAUUUGUUCAGGGAGGGUGGAUGCACUUCAUUGUGUGACCACAUGAUCUGAAUUUUUACUUUGAGGAAAUGAGAGUGUUCCAAGCAGGCAAUCGCCGUGAAUAUGAUAGCAUGGAAUAAUAGCA